rnacentral:rRNA from 1 species
AGGGUUUGAUCAUGGCUCAGAACGUACGCUGGCGGCACGCCUUAUACAUGCAAGUCGAACGAAGUAGCAAUACUUAGUGGCAGACGGGUGAGUAACAUGUAGGUAUCUUCCCUUUGGUGAGGAAUAACACGAGGAAACUUGUGCUAAUACCUCAUAAGUCUUUACGGAGAAAGCUUUAUGCGCCGAAGGAUGGGCCUGCAUUUGAUUAGUUUGUUGGUGGGGUAAUGGCUCACCAAGACUAUGAUCAAUAGCUGAUCUGAGAGGAUGAUCAGCCACAUUGGGACUGAGACACGGCCCAAACUCCUACGGGAGGCAGCAGUAGGGAAUAUUGCACAAUGGAGGAAACUCUGAUGCAGCGAUGCCGCGUGAGUGAAGAAGGCCUUUGGGUUGUAAAGCUCUUUCGUCGGGGAAGAAAAUGACUGUACCCGAAUAAGAAGGUCCGGCUAACUUCGUGCCAGCAGCCGCGGUAAUACGAAGGGACCUAGCGUAGUUCGGAAUUACUGGGCUUAAAGAGUUCGUAGGUGGUUAAAAAAGUUGGUGGUGAAAUCCCAGAGCUUAACUCUGGAACUGCCAUCAAAACUUUUAGCUAGAGUAUGAUAGAGGAAAGCAGAAUUUCUAGUGUAGAGGUGAAAUUCGUAGAUAUUAGAAAGAAUACCAAUUGCGAAGGCAGCUUUCUGGAUCAUUACUGACACUGAGGAACGAAAGCAUGGGUAGCGAAGAGGAUUAGAUACCCUCGUAGUCCAUGCCGUAAACGAUGUGUGUUAGACGUUGGAAAUUUAUUUUCAGUGUCGCAGCGAAAGCAUUAAACACACCGCCUGGGGAGUACGACCGCAAGGUUAAAACUCAAAUGAAUUGACGGGGACCCGCACAAGUAGUGGAGCAUGUGGUUUAAUUCGAAGAUACGCGCAGAACCUUACCAACACUUGACAUGUUCGUCGCGACUUUAAGAGAUUAAAGUUUUCGGUUCGGCCGGACGAAACACAGGUGCUGCAUGGCUGUCGUCAGCUCGUGUCGUGAGAUGUUGGGUUAAGUCCCGCAACGAGCGCAACCCUCACUUUUAGUUGCCAUCAUUUAGUUGGGCACUCUGAAAGAACUGCCAGUGAUAAGCUGGAGGAAGGUGGGGAUGACGUCAAGUCCUCAUGGCCCUUACGUGUUGGGCUACACACGUGCUACAAUGGCAUUUACAAUAGGAUGCAAGAUGGCGACGUCAAGCAAAUCCUAAAAAGAUGCCUCAGUUCGGAUUGUACUCUGCAACUCGAGUACAUGAAGCUGGAAUUACUAGUAAUCGCGGAUCAGCGCGCCGCGGUGAAUACGUUCCCGGGUCUUGUACACACCGCCCGUCACACCAUGGGAGUUGGUUCUACCUUAAGGCAAGGUUUAAAACCCUUGACCACGGUAUAGUCAGCGACUGGGGUGAAGUCGUAACAAGGUAA